rnacentral:rRNA from 1 species
AUUGAGCGCUGGCGGCAUGCCCUACACAUGCAAGUCGAACGGCAGCAUGAUCUAGCUUGCUAGAUUGAUGGCGAGUGGCGAACGGGUGAGUAAUACAUCGGAACGUGCCCUGUCGUGGGGGAUAACUAGUCGAAAGAUUAGCUAAUACCGCAUACGACCUGAGGGUGAAAGUGGGGGACCGCAAGGCCUCAUGCUAUAGGAGCGGCCGAUGUCUGAUUAGCUAGUUGGUGAGGUAAAGGCUCACCAAGGCGACGAUCAGUAGCUGGUCUGAGAGGACGAUCAGCCACACUGGGACUGAGACACGGCCCAGACUCCUACGGGAGGCAGCAGUGGGGAAUUUUGGACAAAGGGCGAAAGCCUGAUCCAGCAAUGCCGCGUGUGUGAAGAAGGCCUUCGGGUUGUAAAGCACUUUUGUCCGGAAAGAAAUGGCUCUGGUUAAUACCUGGGGUCGAUGACGGUACCGGAAGAAUAAGGACCGGCUAACUACGUG